rnacentral:rRNA from 1 species
UACAGGGGGUGCAAACGUUGCUCGGAAUUAUUGGGCGUAAAGCGCGCGUAGGCGGCCACUUAAGUCGGAUGUGAAAGCCCCUGGCUCAACUGGGGAAGUGCACCCGAAACUGAAUGGCUUGAAUGCAAAAGAGGGUCGCGGAAUUCCCGGUGUAGAGGUGAAAUGCGCAGAUAUCAGGAGGAACACCGGUGGCGAAGGCGGUUCUCUGGGCCACUACUGACGCUGAGGAGCGAAAGCGUGGGGAGCGAACAGG